GAUGAACGCUAGCGACAGGCUUAACACAUGCAAGUCGAGGGGCAGCGCAGCGGGGUAACUCGCGGGCGGCGACCGGCGCACGGGUGAGUAACGCGUAUCCAACCUGCCCACCACUUGGGGAUAACCUUGCGAAAGUAAGACUAAUACCCAAUGACGUCUCUAGAAGACAUCUGAAAGGGAUUAAAGAUUUAUCGGUGAUGGAUGGGGAUGCGUCUGAUUAGCUUGUUGGCGGGGUAACGGCCCACCAAGGCAACGAUCAGUAGGGGUUCUGAGAGGAAGGUCCCCCACAUUGGAACUGAGACACGGUCCAAACUCCUACGGGAGGCAGCAGUGAGGAAUAUUGGUCAAUGGGCGAGAGCCUGAACCAGCCAAGUAGCGUGCAGGACGACGGCCCUAUGGGUUGUAAACUGCUUUUAUAAGGGAAUAAAGUGAGUCUCGUGAGACUUUUUGCAUGUACCUUAUGAAUAAGGACCGGCUAAUUCCGUG
rnacentral:rRNA from 1 species